GGUCAAAAGGUCAAAAAGCCGUUCAUGCUUGCAUGAUAAGGCUUUUGAACUUGGGCCCCACUAAACAUGAGAAAGUAGCGAUUUACGCAGUAAAUCAGCGGAUUUCGAAUGUUUAUAGAAUUGCGGGAGCUGCUUUGCAGCGGAACAAUUCGUAGGCAUC
rnacentral:sRNA from 1 species